rnacentral:tRNA from 1 species
GCGUCAGUGGCGGAGUGGUCAAUCGCAUUUGGCUGUAAACCAAACGACUUUAUGUCUACGGGGGUUCGAAUCCCUCCUGGCGCA